UAAUCUGAUAUGAAUUGCUAGGAUUGGGUUAUAGAUGUUUCUAUGUAAUAUAUAUAUGUAUGUCUGAGUCUAUGUUGCAGAGGAGCGCUGAUCAAGUGAGUUGGAAAGCGAAGUCUGAAGCUUGUCUUGGGUUCUCGAUGGUACUUUCACCUCAAUUUGUGACUGCACGUUUUAAGAUUCAGGAUAACUUUACCAUUGUUUAGUGCUCUGACGGGAAAAACUGCUUUUGGAUUCACUGAGUAGGCGACAUCAAAUUACAUAGAGCUCUCUCACUGUUUGAGAAGUAUAAAAAUCAGGCUGAUGGUUGAAUUAUGAAAAAAGAUCAGCUUACUGUCAAAAUCCAAAUCAAGUGAGGCACAGGAGCUUUUGAGUCAUCUACACAAAGGUAAAAGUGUUUAACAUGACUAAGUGCAAGAAAGGUGUGCUGAGAAGAAGAAGACUAAACACAGCAUGGAGAACUCUUUGCUAAUAUGUAAAUAGUACCUCCGUUGUUUUAGCAUUUAAUAGUCCGAAGCUGGCAUGGACAUAAGGAAUGUGUCAUUUGCCAACCACAUAACAUCUGUGAAUGGAUAUUUUGUUCCAAAGUAUU